UCAGUUUGAUUUAAUUCGAUUUUAAGCGAUCUAUUGCUUAUUAAGUAUAUAGUGAUGUAGCAUAAUUACUAUCUUAAAAACAAUAGGGGUGAAAGGCUUACAAGCUUAAAGAUAUCUAAUUAGAAACCAAAUAUAUUUAGUAUAGGAACAAAAAUUCUGAACCAUGUGAUGUUAAGGUCAUGUGGACUCAUUGAAUCUAUUUUACUCAUUUGUUAUAUAAUUAAUUUACUAUAAUAGAAUUGAAUUCGAUAAAUAAUUAUUAUACCAUUCAUGAACAGAUAGUUUCUAACUUUCUAAAUAUGAUUAAUGAUUAUGUUUUUAAUGUGUAAAUUAGUACAAUAAUUCUUAAUUGUAGAGAAGGAACUCGGCAAAAAUCUAAUUUCAACUGUUUAACAAAAACAUAGCCUCAUGAUAUUACAUUUGAGGUGAUGCCUGCCCAGUGAGGUAUAUCUUAUCCUUUAACGGCCGCAGUACUUUGACUGUGCUAAGGUAGCAAAAUCAAUUGGUCUUUAAUUGGGGUCGGGUAUGAACGGCGCUAUGGAAUGAAUCUGUCUCCCUUACAUACUUAUAACUUACUUAAUAGGUGCAAAUUCCUAUAUACCCACAUAAGACGAGAAGACCCUUAGAGUUUUUAUAAUUAAUACAUUUGAUUGUUAUUAUUAUUUUUGUUGGGGCGACAAUGGAAAUUAUAACAUCCACUAUAUAAACAAGACUUUCUCUAUUUAAAGUAGAAUAUAACUACCUGAGGGAUAACAGCAUAAUUUAUUAUUUUAAGAUUGUGACCUCGAUGUUGGACUAGGGACUAAUUAUGACAGCCUCAUAACUAGAUGAUUCUGUUCGAAUUUUUUAUACCUACAUGAUCUGAGUUCAGACCGGCGCAAGCCAGGUCAGUUUCUAUCUAUUAUUUUUUUAAGACUAGUACGAGG
rnacentral:rRNA from 1 species